AGAGUUUGAUCCUGGCUCAGAUUGAACGCUGGCGGAAUGCUUUACACAUGCAAGUCGAACGGCAGCACGGACUUCGGUCUGGUGGCGAGUGGCGAACGGGUGAGUAAUAUAUCGGAACGUGCCCAGUCGUGGGGGAUAACGUAGUGAAAAUUACGCUAAUACCGCAUACGAUCUAAGGAUGAAAGCGGGGGAUCGCAAGACCUCGCGCGAUUGGAGCGGCCGAUAUCAGAUUAGGUAGUUGGUAGGGUAAAGGCCUACCAAGCCAACGAUCUGUAGCUGGUCUGAGAGGACGACCAGCCACACUGGAACUGAGACACGGUCCAGACUCCUACGGGAGGCAGCAGUGGGGAAUUUUGGACAAUGGGCGAAAGCCUGAUCCAGCCAUUCCGCGUGCAGGAUGAAGGCCCUCGGGUUGUAAACUGCUUUUGUACAGAACGAAAAGGUCUCUACUAAUACUAGGGGCUCAUGACGGUACUGUAAGAAUAAGCACCGGCUAACUACGUGCCAGCCGCCGCGGUAAUACA
rnacentral:rRNA from 1 species